rnacentral:lncRNA from 1 species
CUGGCCUCCCUCAUGGUUUCCGGUGCUCUCCUCUUCCACUGUUCUCUCUUUAAUAAACACCACUAGCUUCCCUUAAGUACCAACUCCAAGCCGUGGUAUGCUUUCCACUUUCCAGUGUUAGGGACUGGAGUAAGUGAUGUCUUUUAACGUAAAGAGAGAGAGACGGGACUGGUCAGCUUUGUGCAACUCCUCUUUAAUUUCCAUCUCUACAAGCCCCAGUGACGAAGAGGCUAUGAUCUACUCCCC